GGUAGUGAGGAGCAACCGCAUUAAGCCAGUUACUCCGAAUAGAACUAACUCCACGAACAUAAGAUUUCGUAGUAAAUACCUGAAUGAUUAGAUUAAAAAAAAUUUGAAACAAUGACACUUACCAAUUCGUGGUACAUUAUUGCCUCAACUUUCUUUCCGAACAAGGAAGAAGAGGGGUGAAUUGAAAUGGUCUAAUUUGGAUUAGAAAGGUUUGGCAGGAUUAAUUACAUAUACAUGCAACAUGUAUUUGUAUGUCAUUAAAGAGAAAACUUACCUGAUUGCCUAUAAUAGUUCGAUAAGAACCGUCAGGAUGUAGUAAAGCUGUAUUUGUAAUGUACCCUGACAAGAAAGAGAGAAGGAGAUUUUCGGAGUUGACUUCGGGAGAAGAAUUAAGCUCCCACCCAUCCUUUAAACAAUGCUCGCGUAAUUGCUUACGAAUAUCCAAAAUAGUUUUUAAAGCACGUCGAUUGAUAAAGUUUUGAGAGCACCAUUGCUUGCGUGAAUCGUGACUGGAUUCCAGAUAUUGCCUCAAUGCAUUUAAACAAGUAAGAAGAUCCCCUUCAGAAUGCAAAAAUUUAAGUCUAGCCUCAAUGGCUUCGUCUCGCUUUUCUUGAGGGAAUAGAAACAUGGAAUCCGUAGAAAGACAUGAAACUACGUCUAUUACUUCGGAUAAGCAAUUAUGCUCUCGUGCAGCAAGUACUGCCCGUGCUAAUGAAGGAAGAAGGGGAAUUAAAGACAUUUGAUAACCCAAAUCAUUAAUAUGACCAUUGUCAUCUAAUGCACCUAUCGAAUAGAGAUGUUCCAAAGCACGAAGCAGACCUUCUUUGGAAGGUGGAUCCAUAUAAUGGAAAUUUAUUACAUCGUUUUGGCCGCGAGCCUUUAAGGUAAGGACAGCCUGAGAAAGGUCUAUGCGCUUAAUUUCGGGAAUAGUCUCCUUAGGAAGUUUAUCAAAAUCAGCUUCGGUAUAAAUCCUAUAACAUUGACCAGCAGCUUCACGACCAGCACGUCCAGAACGUUGCAUAGCAGCUGAUUGGGAGAUAGGCUGAACAGUUAAACUUUCGAGGCCAAGCUUACUAUUAAAUUGUUUAAUUUUCGCCAAGCCCGUAUCAAUAACAUAACGGAUUCCGGAUAUUGUAACAGAAGUUUCAGCAAUAUUAGUAGACAAUACAACCUUUCUAUGAUUAGCUAAAGCAGGCAAGAACACUUGAAGCUGUUGCUCCUGUGGAAGGCUGGCAAACAAUGGACAAGCUUGAAUUUGUGGAAGAUUGGAUGGUAACUGUUUAGAAUAACUUUUAAUUAACGCUUCCAAUGCCUCAAUCUCAUCCUGGCCAGUUAAAAAAACUAGAAUAUCGCCAGGAGGCAACUUAGUAUGAAGUUGGAAAAUUGUACGUAAGCAAGCAUCAAGAUAGUCGGGUUCAGGAGUGUAAGUAUAGUGAAUUUGCACAGGGUACUGGCGGCCACUAAUGUAACAAAUCUCGGCGCCAUCAAAAAACUCGGAAAACCUUUCCGCAUUUAAAGUAGCACUCAUGAUGAUUACCCUCAAUGCAGGUCUCUUUUUAAUAAUUUUUUUGACAAAGCCAAGUAGCAUGUCAGUCAUUAACGUGCGUUCAUGAGCUUCGUCAAGAAUCAACGUGUGGUAUUGAGAAAGUAUUGGAUCAUUAAUAAGCUCCCGCAAAAGCAUACCAUCUGUUAAGUAUUUUAUCCUUGUUUUUUUACUGGUAGUAUCAUCAAACCUAAUUGAAUAACCCACCUGUUCACCUAAACGACAGCCUUGUUCCGCAGCUACGCGCUUGGCCAAAUUGACAGCAGCAACACGUCUUGGCUGAGUUAUAGCAACACAUCCUUCUUGGGCAUAAGGACAUUCGUUUAGGAAUUGCGGAAUCUGAGUAGAUUUUCCUGAGCCAGUCUCUCCGACUACCACAAUAACUCGAUUGUCUUGAAUUUGCUGGCACAAAGUAUCAUGUGCCUCCCAAAUUGGUAAGUUUUUCCUUUGUUCCAAGAUAUCUUUUCUUUUUGAAGGCGAGUUUUCAGAUCGUUUUUCAGGUGAACUAUUGUCUGAACCGACUACCUCGUUCGCUCCAAAAUCUGUAUCUUGUUCUAAAAAGUUUACAACCGAAACUGUUGAUUUUUUUGUUGUGUUUUUCGAAGCUUUCCUGUUCUUUUUUUUAUUUGGAGCUUUAAUCCGUUGGCCCCCAACCAACCCAUCAGUUAAGUUUUGUUUUGUAAUUGAACCGCCAUUUCUCAAUUUUCCACUGACUUUUACCAUUUUUACCUAACUUAUUAAACAAAACCAAAAAUUCCCCCAACCUAGUAAAACCACAUAAAAAAUAACCUAUUGCCGACGAGGUGCGUCGCUUGUUGUUUGCAAGAAAUUCUUUUGCUGUAUACCUCGAAAGCACAGGUGAGGGUGGAGCAUUAAAAGUAUACGGA